GAUGAACGCUAGCGGCAGGCUUAAUACAUGCAAGUCGUACGGGAUCCGAGGUAGCAAUACUUUGGUGAGAGUGGCGCACGGGUGCGUAACACGUAUGCAACCUACCUAUAACCGGGACACAACCUCGAGAAAUUGAGGCUAAUAUCCCAUAACACUGCGAGAUGGCAUCAUUUUGCAGUUAAAACUCCGGUGGUUAUAGAUGGGCAUGCGCGACAUUAGCUAGUUGGUGAGGUAACGGCCCACCAAGGCUACGAUGUCUAGGGGUUCUGAGAGGAUUAUCCCCCACACUGGUACUGAGACACGGACCAGACUCCUACGGGAGGCAGCAGUAAGGAAUAUUGGUCAAUGGGCGCAAGCCUGAACCAGCCAUGCCGCGUGAAGGAUGACGGCCCUAUGGGUUGUAAACUUCUUUUGUACGGGAAAAAACCUCUGGUCGAGAAUCAGAGCUGAUGGUACCGUAAGAAUAAGCAUCGGCUAACUCCGUGCCAGCAGCCGCGGUAAU
rnacentral:rRNA from 1 species